rnacentral:rRNA from 1 species
CGGUGUAGCGGUGAAAUGCGUAGAGAUCGGGAGGAACACCAGUGGCGAAGGCGGCCUACUGGGCUUUAACUGACGCUGAGGCACGAAAGCAUGGGUAGCAAACAGGAUUAGAUACCCUGGUAGUCCAUGCCGUAAACGAUGAUUACUAGGUGUGGGGGGUCUGACCCCCUCCGUGCCGGAGUUAACACAAUAAGUAAUCCACCUGGGGAGUACGACCGCAAGGUUGAAACUCAAAGGAAUUGACGGGGGCCCGCACAAGCAGUGGAGUAUGUGGAUUAAUUCGAAGCAACGCGAAGAACCUUACCAGGUCUUGACAUCCAACUAACGAAGCAGAGAUGCAUUAGGUGCCCUUCGGGGAAAGUAGAGACAGGUGGUGCAUGGUUGUCGUCAGCUCGUGUCGUGAGAUGUUGGGUUAAGUCCCGCAACGAGCGCAACCCUUAUUGUUAGUUGCUACGGAAGAGCACUCUAGCGAGACUGCCGUUGACAAAACGGAGGAAGGUGGGGACGACGUCAAAUCAUCAUGCCCUUUAUGACCUGGGCUACACACGUACUACAAUGGGCGUUAACAGAGAGAAGCAAAGGGGCGACUUGGAGCAAAACUCUAAAAACGUUCUCAGUUCGGAUCGCAGGCUGCAACCCGCCUGCGUGAAGUUGGAAUUGCUAGUAAUCGCGGAUCAGCAUGCCGCGGUGAAUACGUUCCCGGGCCUUGUACACACCGCCCGUCACACCAUGG